rnacentral:rRNA from 1 species
GACGAACGCUGGCGGCGUGCUUAACACAUGCAUGUCGAACGGAAAGGCCCUGCUUUUGUGGGGUGCUCGAGUGGCGAACGGGUGAGUAACACGUGAGUAACCUGCCCUUGACUUUGGGAUAACUUCAGGAAACUGGGGCUAAUACCGGAUAGGAGCUCCUGCUGCAUGGUGGGGGUUGGAAAGUUUCGGCGGUUGGGGAUGGACUCGCGGCUUAUCAGCUUGUUGGUGGGGUAGUGGCUUACCAAGGCUUUGACGGGUAGCCGGCCUGAGAGGGUGACCGGCCACAUUGGCACUGGGAUACGGCCCAGACUCCUACGGGGGGCAGCAGUGGGGAAUAUUGCACGGUGGGCGGAAGCCGUAUGCAGAAACGCCGGGUGCGGGAGGACGGCCUUCGGGUUGUAAACCGCUUUCGCCUGUGACGAAGGGUGGGUGGCGGUAAUGGGUAAAGAAGCACCGGCUAACUACGU